rnacentral:lncRNA from 1 species
ACCUGUGGGAAAACAGAGGCUGCCGAAGGACCACAGGCGAGGGGCCCAGCCCAGCUGCAGUGGGCCAGAAAGGGCUCUGGGAAGGGCAGACAACUGAAGCCACACAGGAAAAGGAGUAACCGUUAGCCAGGAUGAGCUGGAGUGCUUCCAUAAAGAGACACGUCUCUCAUCUACAGCUUAGAUGCGCAGUGGUCCAAGGUACAAAUGGAGUCCGCCUACACUCUGACAGCCAUGAACCGACUCCAAGGACAUUGCUGUGCGCUGAGAAGCUGACACAGAGCAGAAUAAAGCACGAAGAUGACCAAACACAGACUGCCUGGUUUAUCCACAUAGCUGACUCUUCUGGAAUACCCUGCAUCUCAUUGCAGUGGAAGAUCAGGAAAUGAGAAAAACCUUAAUCUCAAAACUGGACGCAUCUACUCGAAUCAAGGAAGUCAGUCUCAUUUGAGAACAGCGCUCCCAGGCUCCCCAUCCACACUCGAAAGCUACACAAUGGCUUUUCCAAUCACAAGUCAAAUAAGCAUCUAAAGUUAAAGCCAUAAAGCCAUGAAAUAAAGCAUCAGGGAAUAACCCCACCCUGUCUCCCUUCCAGUUCCUGAGCGAGCGAGAGGUCCCAGGUUAGGGAUCUUGGCAUUUCUCCAUUCCUUUGCAGUCCCUAAACCAGCAAGACAGGAAUUAGCAAGAGCUGCAUCUAAUCUCCUCCAUAGCUUGUGGAUUUGCAUUAUUUACAUAUAUGGGAAGCACCCAUAAUUGAGUAAUUAUUCCAGCAUUUAAAGAAUGCCAAACAAUGAGCCAUUUCUUCUUCAGACCCGAUCUGGCCCAUUUCCGUUUUCCUCUUAGCACACUGUGUAGAAUUACCCAAUGUGUCACUUCCUAGAACACUGGAUUGUUUAUACAAGUAAGCAAGACUUCUUUGGCAGUAUUUAUUUCUCUCAUUUUAGACAUGAUGAUUGCAGCCUUCACAGUGCUCCCUUUUCUAGAAGCUUCUCAAGUGUUGAAUGUGUAUAGAUGCAAUUUUGUGCCUUCCUUUUUAAAAUAAGGGUUAUCCUUUGGGAAGAGGGGUGGGGAGAGAAGGCAGAAUCGAAGAGAGUAAAAAGUCUCGAAGCUCUGUGCUUGCUUGUCUGGCAUGCAAGGAGCGUGUUGGAUUUACUCCUUAACAAGCAUUUUAAAGAAAAUACUCUGCAAGCUAUACUUGAGUGCAUUUUAACAGUUUAGGAAAGAGAAUUUCCCAGAGGGUCUGAGAGGAUGAGAACAAGUAUUUGCAUCUGGAUUAUGGAGGACCUAAGUGGAUUUUUCCUGAGCUGUUUUUCCAUCAGAAAUCUUGGUGGGAG